UACGUAGGGUGCAAGCGUUGUCCGGAAUUAUUGGGCGUAAAGAGCUCGUAGGCGGUUUGUCGCGUCGGCUGUGAAAACUCGGGGCUCAACCCCGAGCCUGCAGUCGAUACGGGCAAACUAGAGUGUGGUAGGGGAGACUGGAAUUCCUGGUGUAGCGGUGAAAUGCGUAGAUAUCAAGAGGAACACCUGAGGUGAAGACGGGUUGCUGGGCUGACACUGACGCUGACAGCGCGAAAGCUAGGGGAGCAAACGGG
rnacentral:rRNA from 1 species